GUGGGGGAUAUUGCACAAUGGGCGAAAGCCUGAUGCAGCAACGCCGCGUGAGUGAUGAAGGCCUUUGGGUCGUAAAACUCUGUCCUUGGGGAAGAAAAAAAUGACGGUACCCUUGGAGGAAGCCCCGGCUAACUACGUGCCAGCAGCCGCGGUAAUACGUAGGGGGCAAGCGUUAUCCGGAAUUAUUGGGCGUAAAGAGUGCGUAGGUGGUUUUGUAAGCGUAGGGUGAAAGACAGUAGCUCAACUAUUGUUAGCCCUGCGAACUGUGAGACUUGAGUGCAGGAGAGGAAAGUGGAAUUCCUAGUGUAGCGGUGAAAUGCGUAGAUAUUAGGAGGAACACCAGUGGCGAAGGCGACUUUCUGGACUGUAACUGACACUGAGGCACGAAAGCGUGGGUAGCAAACAGGAUUAGAAACCCGGGUAGUCC
rnacentral:rRNA from 1 species